GGUGACAGUGCAAGUCCAGAAUAGAAACUGCGGAGCCACUUUUAACAAACUGUUCACUGAAAUGAACUAAAAAUAGUCCAGAUUGAACUUGUACAGACUCACCAUGGAUUUUGCACGCUGUCAAGUCCAUAGUUCUGAUAAUUGUGUGUAAUAUUUGGACAUUUUUUGACUGACUGGGACAAAUGCAGCUCAAGACAGCCUCAGGGAAGUCCGGCUGGUGCCAUGUGACUCCUCCGCUGAACCCGAGCCCCGUACGGUAUGUCAGCCGUCAUGUGGAGCCCGCACACCGGUAAGUGACACCGCCUGAGCCCGGUGACGUCCAACGGAGCAGCUCCACGUCGACUUUCCCGGCUCCUGGGGUAUUUCCCGCGUCUUAAAGUCAGACACGAGGGUUAAGGUUUGGAUUAGACUCAAGAAAAGUGCGUGCAAACAGCCUGGUGGACAGGAAACUUCACACGGAGACAUGCGCUCGUUGGUGGGACUAGCGGCCAUAGUGACGGCUGCGAGCGAGUUCCGGCAAGAUGGCGGUCCGGGCAGGCAGUACUCCUUGAGCUGUUGUAUUUGAAUCUCAGAAUAUCAACUUAGACCUCGAUUUUGAACCGCUAAACGGGCAUUUGUUGUUCUCUUAAAUUUUUUAACAACAAAACUCAAUAUUAGACGCCUCUCAAACGAACUUUAAGCACUCUUUGAAGAAGUUAAAGAUGACCCGGGAAAAACCUGAUGCCCAGGCUAAGCUAGCUUCAGCCUCCAAAAGCCCGGUCCCAGCGGCGGCAACGGACCAUGAAUAUGCCAUUGAAGUAGUGGCGCCGUCAACCAAAAGGAAAAUCCCUGUUACACCAACCAAACCAUCCGCAGUACAACCCAGCAAGGUAAUCAUUUCAAACAAAAACGAGCCAGAGCUGACAGCCCUCACCGCAGCUAUUAACAAGCUGACUGACAGAUUUGAUGACUUUGAUGUGAAACUUCGGGAAAACUCCAUUAUACUAGCCAACCUGACCAAGAUAACUGAAAUGAAUGCUGAUGAACUAAAAAACUGUAAAGGCAGACUCUGUGAUCUGGAGAAGUCGGUCCCUGCCCUCGUUAAAGAGAAUGCUGAUUUGAAAGAGCGCGUGUUGGAGAUGGAGCGCUACAAACGGCGCUGGAAUCUGAAAAUACAGGGUUUUAAAGAAAAAAAAUGAUGAGAAUACCCGCAAAGAAACCCUGGAGAUCUUGGCUAAAAUCGCGCCACAACAUGCUUCAUCCCUGAAUACCGUAGUAGACACGGUGCAUCGUCUGGGGAAGAGGGAAGUCGGGAAGCACCGCCAGAUAAUAAUCCAGUUCACCAUGAGGCACUACCGAGACAUCUUCUGGAAGCUCACCAAAGAUUCCAAGGCCUGCAAAGAGUUGGGAAUCUUCUUCAAGCAAGAUUUCUGCAAGUUCGACCGAGAGGCCAGGGCUGCUGUCUGGCCUAAAAUGGAGCAGGCGAGAGCGGCAGGUCAGAACGUUUACUAUCGAGGGCACAUCGGAUACGUUAACGGAGUCCGUGUGCUACCAGGUGAAAAAACCCUUUAGCAGAGGCUACUGGAAAUUUAACUCCUCACUCCUCACUAAUGAAGACUGCUGCUCCUGCUGUGCCCACCUCUACUGCUUCUUCUUGCAAGCUUUACACUCGUCCUAAGUUUCGCAUUGUUCCUUAUGCUGAGGCACGUGCUGCUGCUCCUGAUAUGUACCUCCCUGAUCUUCCUGAUACACCCACCUCUACUGUUAAUCCUCUGAACCCCUAUGAUUGGUAUGCCCCUGCCUGCUCUGUAUACGUGGCACUCCGCUGACUUUUUCCUGGCACUCCACUGAUCCCAACUGACUAUGACAUUGUAUCAUAUUGUACAUAGGUGUGGGAAAAAAAGUUUUUUUUAAUAUGUAUAUAUAUUGAUUGUUCUGUCAGACAGGGCUGUGUUUAGCUGCUUUGCAUGUUUCCUCAGAAGGGUCACGUGAUGGUGUAGUGACAAGUUUUGUUGGCGGCUUACAUGGUUUUGUCAGACAGUAGGAGAAGCAUACGCCCCCUACUGUCUGAUGCCUUCUCCAGGACUGCAUCCCACUGCAUUUUGUUUGUCUAUUCCUUUCUGAUUUGAAGGACUUUGAAUGGGGAAAGGUCCUCACCUGGUACUCUGAAAGAUAUAAUAUUUAGAUUAGAAUUGCUUAAUUGGUAUGACCACAGAGGGUGGUAGCUAUAGCUUGAAACCCAUGAUAUGGCUGUUUGUGCUUAGAAAACAAGAACGAGCAGGUCCAAGGAGCAUAAAUUGUGGCGAAUGAGCCUACUUCUUAUCACACACAGGAUAAAAUGCCAAACAGUAGGGGGGAGGGGCGCUUCAGACUUUUUUUUGCAGUGCCUGACUAUUUAUGCAUAUACAAUCUAAUUUGCGUAUGUAUAUAUGUGUAAAAACAUAUAUUUCAUAUGUUAUGUUUGCUGCAUCAAUAACUUAAUAGGACACAUUUUCACCCCCACAGGGUGCGUACCCUACUCUGCUGUUUAGUGCCUUGUCCCAUGUGUGUGAUACGCUCCUUGAACCUGUUUGUUUUUUUAUUUUCAAAUACAAACAGCCAACAGACAAACAAGAUGCUGUAGGAUGCUACUGUCUGGCAAAACCAUGUAAGCCGCCUACAAAACACUCCACUACACCAUCACGUGACCCUUCUGAAAAUGUCCCUAAAAUACAUAUAUACAUAUAAGUAUUAGUUAUUAUUCUGCAGUUUUGUUGUAAAUAGUGUGGUUCUUGUGUUUUAGUGUGAAACAAAAAAAAAAUAAAAAUAAAUGUUGUAAAUAGUAUGUAAAUAGUGUGGUUCUUGUGUGGUUUUCUGCUCCCCCUCUUCUUGUGUUUGUUCUCACAGAGCUGGUGGUGAUGAGGGCUCCUCCUGCAGCAGACCAGACCAA